AAACUACAAUCCUUCCAGGCUAGUAAAGCACUUGGAUAAAAAUGCGCAAAUCCAGUCACUAUCUUGAAACAGGGAAAAGCCACCCUGUGAGCAACCUUGAGCCCCAGUCUGGUAUCUUAGGUGCCUUCUUAAUCAUAAUGAGAGAGAAUAAGGAGAAUGGACUUCCUUACGCAUUCACAAUGAGGCCAUAAUUCGUACGUCUUGCUGCCAGCUGGCUCCGAUUCGAAUUGCAUCGCCUGCUGGCUUGAACCACUGGCGGUACACCUGUGACUGUCUAGAAACAAUGGGUGCUGCUGGGGCCACAAGAAAAGCCAAAUGUAUUAUGAAGCCAAAUGCACAA